rnacentral:tRNA from 1 species
GACUAAGAUAAAGAUAGGCCGCUAACUUGUUUUAAACUUUUAAUUAGGUUAUUAGUCU